UACAGAGGGUGCGAGCGUUAAUCGGAAUUACUGGGCGUAAAGCGUGCGUAGACGGCUAUCUAAGUCGGGUGUGAAAGCCCCGGGCUCAACCUGGGAAUUGCAUUCGAGACUGAAUAGCUAGGGUACGGUAGAGGGAAGUGGAAUUUCCGGUGUAGCGGUGAAAUGCGUAGAUAUCGAGAGGAACACCUGCGGCGAAGGCGGGUUGCUGGGCUGACACUGACGCUGAGGCGCGAAAGCUAGGGGAGCGAACGGG
rnacentral:rRNA from 1 species